rnacentral:rRNA from 1 species
AUUGAACGCUGGCGGCAGGCCUAACACAUGCAAGUCGAACGAGUGGCGGACGGGUGAGUAAUGUCUGGGAAACUGCCUGAUGGAGGGGGAUAACUACUGGAAACGGUAGCUAAUACCGCAUACCAUCAAAUGUGCCCAGAUGGGAUUAGCUAGUGGUGGGGAGAACGGCUCACCAAGGCCACGAUCCCUAGCUGGUCUGAGAGGGUGACCAGCCACACUGGAACUGAGACACGGUCCAGACUCCUACGGGAGGCAGAAGUGGGGAAUAUGUCACAAUGGGCGCAAGCCUGAUGCAGCCAUGCCGGGGGUAUGAAGAAGGCCUUCGGGUUGUAAAGUACUUUCAGCGGGGAGGCGUUACCCGCAGAAGAAGCACCGGCUAACUCCGUGCCAGCAGCCGCGGUAAUUC